AUUUAUAUAUAUAUAGAGUCCAAUUCUGUGUUUUCUUGAUGAAUUAUUUGUAAAGAAAUUUUAUCAAGAUUUUUAACUAGCAAAAGCUUCCUUCGCAUUCU